CGCCAUCUAGCGGUCGAUCUUGAACUCGGUAACCAAGUGAUUUAUUCCCUUUGUGUGACAUUGCACUAUUGCAGUUGCAGUCGAAGUCCUCGCGUUGCUGAGUCCCUCAAACAGCCUGCUGAUUUCUGAGCACAACAUCAAUCUUAAGUGAUUUCGUCGGCCGAAAGCGUCAGGGUCCAAUUCAACCAUUUUACACAACAAAGUAGUGACUGGCAAGUCCCAUUCAUCCUAAAACAGCCGAAAACUUGAGUGACAUUGUAGUGACGAGGGACCGUAGGACAUGAUGCUGAAACAAUCUUUGCCGUAAGGAGAGGCGCAUGGAGCAGUGGGUACAUCGCCGAUGUAAUCAAUUGGUCUUGCUGACGUCCCUAACGUGACGUACUAUGUCAGCAAUAAAAUAGCAAUCUAGAGCAAA